AAGGCAGAGUGGGUGCCUGGGAAUUGAGCCUCGGUGGUUGGGGGUCAGGGGUGGGGUUGGAAAGCUAGUGAGGAAGGUGGACCACAGUACUGUGUAGAUGCCUGGACGGGGGCUGCCUGGGAUCCUCCUCUGAGGGUCUUGCCUGGGGACUCAAACCAGGAUUCUAUAGACAACGUCUUCACGUGGCAAGUUAUUUUUGCUGUGAACCCACGUGGUCGCGCCUGGUAAUUAUAGGGUAAAAGGAAUUAAGCAAGACAUAAUUUCUCCCCAUCAAACCUGACUGUUUUACGUCUCCACCUCGCACCGGCAGGCAGGCUUUCUCCCUUCACAGGUGCCACUUUGAUUUCAGUCACGUUGGAAAGGAAUUUGAAACAUCUUCAAAGUGAUUAAAGAGAGGAAGUCAUUGCAAAUGUGGGCUAAAUGUAAUAAUCACAUAAACUGUUUAUGGCCAUGGAGCUUUCAGGAGGGAAGGCCUUGUGGUAGCUGACAGUCGGGGUGGGGCUGGGGCUGGUGAGAACAGUGGUGGCAGAGGUGGCGACGGCACUCUCAGCCUCAGCUUCACUGUGUGGGGUCCAUGGUCCACGUCUGCUCCCUAUGGCAUCCCAAGGGGACUCUUUCAUGUUCAGGGAAUUUGACCUUUGAGUCUAGACCUGGGACUGAGUGGGUGAAACCCUGGCUAAUAAUUCACCAAAGACUCCAAGACAUAAGGGUACUCCUGUGACUCCCUCCCUCCAUGCAGGC
rnacentral:lncRNA from 1 species